rnacentral:misc_RNA from 1 species
GAUCGCUGUGUGCGGUGAAAGCCGCUUGCAUGGUGAAGGCUCGUUAUAAGCCUUUAUUUUUAAUGGUAUAAGACGAGAAU